GGUGGUGUGGUCUAGUGGUAUGACGUCACGUUGUGGAACACACAAAUCCGUGCCAGCCUGGGUUCGAUUCCCAGCACCGCCA